rnacentral:rRNA from 1 species
AUUGAACGCUGGCGGUAGGCCUAACACAUGCAAGUCGAGCGGCAGCAGAGUGAUUGCUUGCGCUUACAGGUGGCGAGUGGCGGGUGGGUCCGAGGUACAUGCGAGGCUGCUGGGUCGAGGUCGAGAACGGGGCGCUACUACCGCUAAUACCGCGUACGAGCUACUGGUGGAAGCAGGGGCUUCUCGGACUCUGCUGGGUUUAGUGCGGAGAUGUCGGAUUAGCUGGUUGGCGGGGUAAAGGCCGACCAAGGCGACGAUCCGUACCUGGUCUGAGAGGAUGAUCAGUCACACUGGAACUGAGACACGGUCCAGACUCCUACGGGAGGCAGCAGUGGGGAAUAUUGGACAAUGGGCGAAAGCCUGAUCCAGCCAUGCCGCGUGUGUGAAGAAGGUCUUCGGGUUGUAAAGCACUUUUGGUGAGAAAGAAAAGCAGUAAGUUAAUACCUCGCUGUUCUGACGUUACCAACAGAAUAAGCACCGGCUAACUUCGUG